GUGGUUACACAUUCCAGGUUUGAGCAUUCGCUUGCUGUCUAUUUGCCAUACAUGACGACAAAGAAAGCCAGCAAAUUUUCAAGUCAUGUUCGCUGAUUAGGAUUGGAUUAGUCUUGGGUUAAGUAGAAUUUGAUUGAAGAGACUAACAUUAAGUAUUUGUGGAUUAAUUUUCCCAUCGUUAGAUUUUUUUUGUAUGUAGAGAAAGGUUUCUGGCUCUUAUAUACCUAACUAUUAGCCAUUUAUUCGUAUUAUUGCUUUGUUCCAAAUAAGUAAUGCUUUCAAUGCCAUUUACAGAUAAUAAACAAUUAAAUUACAAGCAUCUAUUUGCAUUUUUGGACAUAUAUUAUGCACUUAAUUUACUAUGUCAUUUUGGUUUUGGCUUUUACUUUGCCUUACUAAAUUACAUUAAUUUUAGAGCAUAUUAAGCAACUUUUAACUAUCACAAUAGUUACGUAAAGAGAUGAAGACCUAUCCAGAAAAAUGCACAUUUUGACAUAAAACCGUGAACAUCAUUAAGGUAUCUUAUCCAUGAAUAUUUAUUCUAUCUAUAUCCUCAUGAACUUAGUUUAUCUUUUCCACUUUCUUCAUAACACUACAUUAGGGGAGCCUCAUGUUCCUUAUUAUCAUUAAAAACAUAUGUGUGAUACAUGUAAUGAUCCUUAUUAUCAAUAAGACUUAGAUCUUAUCCAACAAUUAUACAUUCAAAUUCCAGCCAAAAAUUGGAAUCCCCAAUCUAACCAACUCAACAUACAGGUCUACAAAAAUAGAACAAAUUAUAGUUUUAAUCAACUCAUCUUUAACAGAUUUUGGUAAAAUAAAGUGUUCAAAGAGAAUCCAAUAUGUAGUGAGCUGUAUUUUGUGGUAUUGUGAGGAUAAGAUGAUAUAUAUGCCUCCGUUUUUUCUCAACAGGAAACUAAGAUUGUAUGAUGCUGUUGAAGACGCCAACAUAAAUGCAAAGAAAUAAGAGGGACAAAUAAAGAAUAGAGGAUUGGCAAUGAAAAUUUGAAGCGUCAAUCAGGAACAAAUGGGUGGAAAUUGCAGCAUUGAUGUCAAUUUUCUUUUCAAAAUAAACAAUGACAUAUAGACUUUAUGGGUAUUGUGAAUAAUGUAAAUAUUGUGAUCUAGGUUUUAUAUUUUGACAUUUAAGUUGUUUUGUAUUUUGCUACGAGUACUUAAUGUUUUCAUAUACUCUUUUUUUA